rnacentral:tRNA from 1 species
AGCAGAGUGGCGCAGCGGAAGCGUGCUGGGCCCAUAACCCAAAGGUCGAUGGAGCGAAACCAUCCUCUGCUA